rnacentral:rRNA from 1 species
AGCGAACGCUGGCGGCGUGCCUAACACAUGCAAGUCGAACGUGAAAAGGGAAACCUGAGUACAGUGGCGUACGGGUGAGUAACGCGUAGGUAAUCUACCCCAGAAUCUGGAAUAACCUGCCGAAAGGCGGGCUAAUACUGGAUAGAGCGAGGGAACUCGUAAGAGAGUUUUUCGGGAAAGGGAGCCCGCAAGGGCCUUCGUUCUGGGAUGAGCCUGCGUCUCAUUAGCUAGUUGGUAAGGUAACGGCUUACCAAGGCGAUGAUGAGUAGCUGGUCUGAGAGGAUGAUCAGCCACACUGGAACUGAAACACGGUCCAGACUCCUACGGGAGGCAGCAGUGGGGAAUCUUGCGCAAUGGACGAAAGUCUGACGCAGCCACGCCGCGUGAGUGAAGAAGGCCUUCGGGUUGUAAAGCUCUGUCGGAUGGGACGAACAUCUUCAUAGUGAAUAGCUAGGAGGACUGACGGUACCAUCAAAGGAAGCACCGGCUAACUCCGUG